UUGAAGGGUCGUUCGAGACCAGGACGUUGAUAGGCUGGGUGUGGAAGUGCAGUAAUGCAUUAAGCUAACCAGUACUAAUUGCCCGUACGGCUUGUCCCU
rnacentral:rRNA from 1 species